rnacentral:rRNA from 1 species
UGCGGUCGACUCUGAGGAUCCCCUGGUGUUGCAUGGCCGUCGUCAAUUUGUGUAUAAAACGUAAAACCGGUUUAACCCAGUGGGUUCGUUUAUUGGAUGAAGUCAGGUCUUAUUGUCCUAAUGUUUGGGGAUUAGAUGCGCUACAUUUUUUUAUACAAUGGGAGACUUUGAAAGUGAAACCCUAAAGUAAGAGUUCGGAAGGUGCCUGGAAGAUAACUGAAAGUGGUAUUUAAUAGUAAUCGGAAAGUAGAGCGUUCUGGUGAAACUGGCCCAGUGUUAGUACAAAUUGCCCGUCGCCUUUGCUUAGAGUGGUGGGUUGGACGCCCCUUAUUGUAGGGGUUACGAGCACC